rnacentral:rRNA from 1 species
GACGAACGCUGGCGGCGUGCCUAAUACAUGCAAGUUGAGCGAUGAAGAUUGGUGCUUGCACCAAUUUGAAGAGCAGCGAACGGGUGAGUAACGCGUGGGGAAUCUGCCUUUGAGCGGGGGACAACAUUUGGAAACGAAUGCUAAUACCGCAUAACAACUUUAAACAUAAGUUUUAAGUUUGAAAGAUGCAAUUGCAUCACUCAAAGAUGAUCCCGCGUUGUAUUAGCUAGUUGGUGAGGUAAAGGCUCACCAAGGCGAGGAUACAUAGCCGACCUGAGAGGGUGAUCGUCCACAUUGGGACUGAGAGACGGCCCAAACUCCUACGGGAGGCAGCAGUAGGGAAUCUUCGGCAAUGGACGAAAGUCUGACCGAGCAACGCCGCGUGAGUGAAGAAGGUUUUCGGAUCGUAAAACUCUGUUGGUAGAGAAGAACGUUGGUGAGAGUGGAAAGCUCAUCAGGUGACGGUAACUACCCAGAAAGGGACGGCUAACUACGUG